rnacentral:misc_RNA from 1 species
CACCACUCAAGCCUCGCUUGGUAUUGGGCCCGGGGGCGACCCGGACCUCAAAGUCGCCGGCUGGAAAGCUCUGAUCGCAGCGUCGUGGUUCAUCAAACUCGCUGGCGAGACGGGACUUCCGCGCCGUUAAACAUCAUUCAA